GCUCGGGUGGUGGAAUGGUAGACACGCCGGACUUAAAAUCCUGUGGGCGUUAGCCCGUGCGGGUUCAAGUCCCGCUCCGAGUACAA
rnacentral:tRNA from 1 species